UGGGGAAUUUUCCGCAAUGGGCGCAAGCCUGACGGAGCAAUACCGCGUGAGGGAGGAAGGCUCUUGGGUCGUAAACCUCUUUUCUCAGGGAAGAACACAAUGACGGUACCUGAGGAAUCAGCAUCGGCUAACUCCGUGCCAGCAGCCGCGGUAAUACGGAGGAUGCAAGCGUUAUCCGGAAUGAUUGGGCGUAAAGCGUCCGUAGGUGGUUUUGUAAGUCUGUGGUUAAAGCGUGGAGCUCAACUACAUAAGGGCCAUGGAAACUACAAGACUUGAGUGAAGUAGGGGUAGAGGGAAUUCACAGUGUAGCGGUGAAAUGCGUAGAGAUUGGGAAGAACACCGGUGGCGAAAGCGCUCUACUGGACUUAUACUGACACUGAGGGACGAAAGCUAGGGGAGCGAAAGGGAUUAGAUACCCCUGUAGUC
rnacentral:rRNA from 1 species